rnacentral:ncRNA from 1 species
CAACGCAAUGGUGCGUUUUAUGCUGGUCGGGAAACCCAACAGCGUAGCAGAAUAGAACCUGCAUUGGACUUCUUUAAGGAGAAAACAAAUG